CUUGUGCAAACUGCGGAAGCCUCUGGGCUUUUAGUGGAAGCGGGUUACGCUAGGAGAUGCCUCGGAGGAGGAAGGGGAUAUAGAUAGCCCCCCCCGACCCCCGGAACUUCCCCGCCACCACAUAGGGGCGCUUGGGCCCCAAAGAUUUGCUGCUCCCCACAUUAAAACGUUCCCUCUGCUUUUUCAAAUCAGAUGACCAUUUAUCCGCUCCCCUUAGAACAUCACGACUGGAUGAAAUGUCAAAAAAGCCCAUCUUUAAAUAACUGAGGGUAAAUGAGGUAACAAGACAAAACACAAGCUUUCAUACUCAUCAAAUGCUACAAGUUGGUGAGUGGCCCAACCCCCCUGGGAACUUGUUCUUACUGUACUCAGGCUGUCUUCUCUCAUUUCUUUCCUGGCCUCCUUCCCUUUGAGAGCUUGGGGUUCCAAGUCACUGGAACAGUAUUUCUCAACUUCUGUUUCUCAAUUUUAUGUUCGUUUUGAAAAAUAACUAAAUAUAUUUUGUUCUGCAUAGUCUCUCCAGUCAAGGAUAUUUUGUAAUAUAAAAUUAACCAUCUGUCCCCAGCCCCAAAACAGGGUGAGAUCGAGGCAAGUUUUCUUUCUUUACAAUUCAACAAGAAAUGGGCUUUGGGACUAGGUCAUUUUUUUCCUUUGCAGUUGUGGCAGGGCUGUCAGCGGAUAGCUCUGGCCUCCAAGGCCCCCCGAUGUCAGUGAGUGAGCCCGUUUGCUCAGAUGAGAACUUCCUACCCAGUAAAUCCAUGCAUGCUCUGGGGAUCUGGAGAGGCAAAUGGAAGAUCUCCAACACAGGCAUAUUGAAUAAUAGCAGGUGUUCCCUAAGAAUCUAACAAACCCCUUAUCAGUGACUGUGAUCACUUUCCAAUUCACCUGUUCACUGAAAGCAACAAAUAAUAAAGCCAACCUCAUUUUGUGUGUAGUAUGCAUAUAAUUAAAAAGAUGGAAAAGAAGAAUGAAACAGCCAAAAUGUCCAGUUAUCUUUAAAGACGAAUUUCUAUGUUGUAUCAGUGAGGGCUCAAUCACAGAGAAUAGAAUCCAUCCAAGCUAUUUAAUUAAAAAAGGAUUUAUUGCCGGCUUUUAUGUGACUUACGUAAACACUGGGAAGGUUUAAAAAACACACACUAGGGGGAGCUUCCAAGAACAAAUUCCGAAGCCAUAAUGUAGAACUUGGCCACCAUUGAAACUAGUUCUUUUGCCACAACCCAGAAGCCAUCUGCUAAAUUGGGCAGCUGCUAGCGCAGGUUCUGGCUUCGGAACCAUGUCAUGAUGUUACAGUCUGUCCAGCAAAAUGAGUAUCUCAAGCCGGGCCUCCCUCCCCACUUAAAACUCAGUUUCAAAUUCAGCUGUCCUACCAGUGCUUCUGUUUGGUAGAGCCUGGUGCAUACCCAGAACCUAGGUGCAAGGAGAUCUGGGAAAAGAAGUAUUUGCUUUCCAGACUCUGCAGUGGAGUGAGGAAUUCUGAAACGAUGUUGGAAGACGUACUGAGAUACCCCAGCAUGGCUGUCUGCCUUCCCCAAGCCAGCAACAGAGGGAGCAACUCAAUCAAGUAAAGCUGCAUACUCAGGCAGGAAAUCCCACCCUUUCCAACUUCCUCCAAGAAGAUGGGACUCAAGUUCCUAUUGUGAAGCAUCUUGCCCUGGACAAGAACUCCUAUACAAAAAUUGAAGCCUGCUUGUGGAAGACUCCUUUUCCUGGACUCCCCAGGCCAGGCAGGUGAAUGUAGGUACUCGGUGAAUUUCUCACUCCAACAGACCUACUUCCCGGGGACAUCUCCCUUAAAAAGGGUCCUUCUUGGCACUGGCUGCAUCCCACCCAGAACAUCAGGCCCGACCCGGCAUCCUCGGAGUGUAGUAAAUCUCUGAUGAAACUUAACCUGCACCAGGUGAGACUACAAAUAACAGGUCUGUCUUCCAAUUUGAAUCUCCAGUGAUGUUUAACCUUUUCUCAGGGCUAUUCUCUCACUAGCCACCCCACCCUAACCCACCCACCCAAAUUAGGAGGUAGCCCACAUCAAGGAGGGAGGACAGUGGCCCCUCUGUGAGUUGCUAGGGCCUUUCCCUGUUUCUUUUUCCCCCGCUGGUUAGAUGAGACCCACCUCCUCCCAUUGUCUGUUGUCCUUUCCUCUACCCAAACAUAAAGAGCCUCAUUUCCCACCCUCCUCUCUGCACUUUAGCCACACUAGCCUUUUCAUUUUUCUAGUGUGCUCUUCUUCUUCUUCAGCCCCAUGACCUUCCUACAUGUUCUUCUAGCUGCCUUGAGUUCCCCUAGCUCCUGCUGCUUCUAGCUUACUCCAAUUCUUCCAACUCUCAGAGGCCCCUGCUUUAUCUCUCUGAGGGCAAGAGGAGAUGUAGGGACCAACCGAGUCUAGCCCUCUGAGAAACCAGAGCAGUUCCACUGUCUGAGCCCCCUCAAAUUUCCCGACAUCACCCCCAAGCCAGUCGUGCCUUAGUUCUGUCAUUGCUGGCAGUGAGUUCCCACCUUUUAAAGAAAAAAAAAUAUAUUUCACUUUCAUUUAGUUCCAAAUACUUUUUAAUUUCUUUUGACACAUCCUCUUUGCCGUAUGUGUUGUUUGGUCUUCAGAUACCUUGGGAUUUCUGGCUAUCCUUCUAUGAUUCAUUUCUAGGUUGAUUCCAUUGUAGUCUGAAAGCAUACUUUGUGUGAUAUUUAUUCUUUUAAAUUUGGUAAAGUAUGUUUAUGGCCCAGACUGUGGUCUGUCUUGGCAAAUGUUCCACGUGAGCUGCAGAAUAUGUAAUCCUGCUACCAUUAGAUGAAGUAUUCUAUAAAUGCCAAUUAGAGCCAGUUGAUUAAUGGUUAUAUCUCUUUUUCACCAUUGAAUCUCUGCGAUGUUAACAGAGAGUAUGACCCAUAGUACGUGCUCCAAAAAGUUAUUGAAUAAGAGGAGAAGGAGCAAGCAGGAGGAAGGGAAAAAUGGAUACAGAGAUUUCACAUGUUAUUCCCCUGAUUAAAAGCUUUCAGUUAGGGGCGCCUGGGUGGCUCAGCCGUUAAGCGUCUGCCUUCGGCUCAGGUCAUGAUCCCGGGGUCCUGGGAUCGAGCCCCGCAUCUGGUUCCCUGCUCAGUGCAGAGCCUGCUUCUCCCUCUCCCCCCACCCCUGCUUGUGUUCCCACUCUCGCUGUCUCUCUAUCAAAUAAAUAAAUAAAAUCUUCCAAAAAAAAAAAGCUUUCAAUAGUUCACUAUAAUCUAUACAUUUUAACUGCUGUUCUUCCUAUUCGGUAGUAAUAUGUCACAAUUUUUUACUAUAUUUCUUCUGUAACAAAUGCAAUCAUUUUAUGUACCACUGUAGAAGGGGGAAAAAACCUCCUGCCAAGAAAAUUGUGAGAUGCCAUCAAUUUUGAAGUUGUUAAGCUAUGAAAAAACGUGAGUCAUAGAGUUGAUAAAAUAUUGGAGUUAGCUACAAGCUUGUCUUACGUGGCGGAUGGGUCCAUAGCUUAUUUAUCUCUGUGUCCCCAGCACCAAACACAGUACAUGACACAGAGUAGACGCUGAAUAACAUUAGUUUAGUCAUCUGAGGUGUCCCUCAUUCCCUACCACCAGACACCUGGCUUUCCUU